AGCCAACAAAUUCUUCUCAUUGCCGCUCACCGAGAAACAAAAAGCUGGGCCGCCGUGUCCCUUCGGGUACGGGAAUAAGAGUAUCGGUUCCAACGGCGAUGUCGGCUGGGUCGAAUACCUUCUUCUCACCGCCAAUCAUGAUUCCAUCCUACAAAAAUUCGAAUCAAUUUUUGGUGAAAACCCAGAAAGUUUUAGGUACCCGGAUGAAAUAAAACAAAAUGAAAUAUAUACCCAAAAUCGAUUUAAACCCAAAUUUUAUCUUAAUUGAAAUGGGUUUGUUUUUGUUGCAGGGAUGUGUUGAAUGAUUAUAUAGGGGCAGUGAAGAAAAUGGCUUGUGAGAUACUUGAAAUAAUGGCGGAUGGGUUGAAGGUUCAAGCGAGAAAUGCUUUCAGCAAAUUGUUAAUGGAUAAACAGAGCGACUCUGUUUUCCGACUGAAUCAUUAUCCUCGAUGCCCAGAUUCUGAAGCUUUGAGUGGUAGUGAUUUGAUUGG
rnacentral:lncRNA from 1 species